rnacentral:rRNA from 1 species
AUUGAACGCUGGCGGCAUGCCUUACACAUGCAAGUCGAACGGCAGCACGGGUGCUUGCACCUGGUGGCGAGUGGCGAACGGGUGAGUAAUACAUCGGAACGUACCUUAUCGUGGGGGAUAACGCAGCGAAAGCUGUGCUAAUACCGCCUACGCCCUGAGGGGGAAAGCGGGGGAUCGAAAGACCUCGCGCGAUUAGGGCGGCCGAUGCCGGAUUAGCUUGUUGGUGGGGUAGAAGCCCACCAAGGCGACGAUCAGUAGCUGGUCUGAGAGGACGAUCAGCCACACUGGGACUGAGACACGGCCCAGACUCCUACGGGAGGCAGCAGUGGGGAAUUUUGGACAAUGGGGGAAACCCUGAUCCAGCAAUGCCGCGUGAGUGAAGAAGGCCUUCGGGUUGUAAAGCUCUUUUGUCAGGGAAGAAACACCGGCUCUAACACAGUCCGGGAAUGACGGUACCUGAAGAAUAAGCACCGGCUAACUACGUGCCAGCCGCCGCCGUAAGAC